UACGUAGGCAGCGAGCGUUGUUCGGAGUUACUGGGCGUAAAGGGCGCGUAGGCGGCCACCGCAAGUCGACUGUGAAAUCUCCGGGCUUAACCCGGAAAGGUCAGCCGAUACUGCGGGGCUAGAGUGCAGAAGGGGCAACUGGAAUUCUCGGUGUAGCGGUGAAAUGCGUAGAUAUCGAGAGGAACACCUGCGGCGAAGGCGGGUUGCUGGGCUGACACUGACGCUGAGGCGCGAAAGCUAGGGGAGCGAACGGG
rnacentral:rRNA from 1 species